CCCGCAAGCAGCGGCUCAUGGCAGCCGUAGGCGAGCGGGCGGCGGGCGGCGCGCCACUCUCCUGCUUCAUCUGCGGCGGCGGCAUCGGGCGCGGCAAGGAGCUGAAGCUGCAGGUGAAGCAGCCGGCGGCGGGCGCGGGGACCCCGGCGCAGCCCUUCUUCCCGUUCCUGCAGCAGCAGGAGCCGGCGCCCGGCGCGCGCGAGCUGUCCCCGGCCGACGGCUGCGUGCUGGUGUGCGCCGUGUGCCGCUGCUUCCUGGGCGAGCAGUGGGCCGCCUUCGAGCGCGCCCGCACGCCGGUGGACAAGCGCAUGUACUGGCUUAAGCGGCCCCACCAGUGCGACGCGGNNNNNNNNNNNNNNNNNNNNNNNNNNNNNNNNNNNNNNNNNNNNNNNNNNNNNNNNNNNNNNNNNNNNNNNNNNNNNNNNNNNNNNNNNNNNNNNNNNNNCGCCGUGGCGGCGCCGGGGCCCCCCGCGAGUGGAACGUCGCCUACGCGCUGGGCAGCGCCGGCGGCGACGACGACGAGGACGACGGUGGCGGCCCCCGGCUCCGCGGGGCCGCUGAGGAGACGCGAGACUCUGACCUGUCGGAGCUGUCGGACACGGACCCACUUUCCGAGCCCGACCCGCCCGCGCGGGACGCCGCCAGCCCCCACCAGGACGGGGCCCCGGGGCCAGGGCCUCGCGGGGGGCGCGGCCAGGAGUGGAGGCCAACUCCGGGACCCGCUCUGGGACAGGGCGCAGAGGCCCCGGCGCAGGGGCGCGCGGAGCACGAGGGGCUCCCCGCGAAGGCCCACACAGAUGGGGAGCCUAAGGCCGGGGUUAGGCGCCGGCGGAAGGGGGUUGGGAGGCACUGGGUUCCCGAGGCCCGGGCCAGCGUCCUGAGGGGCAUUCAGGAUCCUUGGCAAGGCCCUCCUGUCCAAGAGGCUUCUGCAGACGGCAUGAAAGGGCCUCCCUCUGGCAGAGCCUCUAAGCCCCUGGAGAGCAGGCCGCUGAGGGAGACCCUCCGCGGCUUCUGCACAUCCGAGGACAGUGACAUCAAUAUCACCAGUGGGGAAGAGGACCACAAGGAGCAGCCUUUCCCAGGCGUCUGCAACCCCAAAGAGAAGGAGAACAGUGGCCGUGUCCCCCGGGCUCUCCCAGACAGCCGGGCGGCACCACCAGAGGGCCUUUGCUGCUACAUCUGCGGGUCCCCGCUGUCCCCGGCCUCGCACCACCAGGUCCACGUGCAGAAGCAGGAGAAGCUGGCGCAGGCCCCGUUCUUCCCCUUCCUGUGGCUGCACAGCCCGCCCCCAGGGGCACAGCCCAUCAGCGAGGGCGGCAGCACCCUGGUGUGCGCCAGCUGCUUCUCCUCCCUCACGCAGCAGUGGCAGAGCUUCGAGCUGGCCAACGUGCCGGUGCUGCAGCGACUCUAUGUGGUGCCCCUGGACAGCCACGCCCCCGGCAUGGCCUCCAAGGGCAGGAGGCUCCCUAGAGAAGAGGGCCUGCCCUCCGGGGCCCUGCGAGAGGCCUGCUACCUCUGUGGGGAGGACUGUACCCCAGAUGCCCGGGCGGUCCCCUCCAGGAUCCUCAAUGGCAACGCGAGGAGCGCCAUGCAUUUCCCCUUCCUCAGCCUCCUUCCCUGCCCGCCCAACGCCCAGGGCCCCAACAAGCGCUGUGAGGUCCGCAGCUGCCCCAAGUGCUUCAGCGUCCUGGAGGAUGUCUGGGCCCUGUACAGGGCCUGCCAGAACGAGGAGCUCAUCACCUCCGUGCAGGGCUUCCUGGGCAGGUACCACCAGGCCUUCUCCGCCUCUGACCCUGCCCUCUCCGAGCUGCCCGCCUCAGCCCAGGGCGGUCCCGUGUCCAUCUGCUACAUCUGUGGGGCUGAGCUGGGCCCCGGGAAGGAGUUCCAGCUCAACGUGAACCCUGCCAGCCGCUUGGGCGAGAAGGAGCCCUUCUUCCCCUUCCUGACCGUGUACCCGCCUGCCCCUCGUGCCAGGCCUGUGGACUCCACCGGCCUGGUGGCCACCUGUGUGCUCUGCUACCAUGACCUGCUGGCCCAGUGGCUGCAGCAUGAGGCCCGCAGCACCCACCACGCUGUCAGCGCCUGGUCCCGGCAGUACCAGGUGGAGACGUUCGUGUGCUUCUUUUGCCAGCAGGAGAAGAAACGGUGUCUGGGCCUGAAGUCCGUGCGGGUGGCCCGGCUGCCCCUGUUCCUAUACACCCUGCGAGCAAGCCACAGCCUGUUGGUGGAUGACGGACAGCAGCUGAUCAUCGGCGCUUGCGUGGAGUGUGGGACCCUGGUGUGUGCAGGUCAAGGGGUCAGCCGCCAGGGACCCAUGAACUGGAGCUCCCCAGUGGCAGCAGCGACGAAGGGAAGCCUUGGCCUGGCUCUGAAGGCCUCCCAGCUGAUCCACGCAGGCCUACCCAGGUCAUCUCCAACAGUCUCCCUUACUGAGAGGGCAAGAUCCCCUGCCAGCAGCCCCAGAGGCCAGUGUGAUGGAGCAACCGACCCUGUGCUUGCCCAGCCCACCACGCUUCUCUUCCAGGCCUCCUUCUUGUCUCUCUUGCAGGCUCCUCUGAGCAUGGCUGCUGCCCGGCCUCGGGACCUUCCACUUUGCCCACCUCACCCCCUUAGGGCUUGGGGGCUUGGGUCAGGUGCCUGA
rnacentral:lncRNA from 10 species